AACGUAGGAGGCGAGCGUUAUCCGGAUUUACUGGGUGUAAAGCGCAUGCAGGCGGUCGGCUAAGAUGGGUGUGAAAGCUCCUGGCUCAACUGGGAGAGGUCGCUCAAGACUGGCAGACUGGAGGCUGGGAGAGGAAAGUGGAAUUCCGGGUGUGGUGGUGAAAUGCGUAGAUAUCCGGAGGAACACCAGUGGCGAAAGCGGCUUUCUGGACCACGCCUGACGCUCAGAUGCGACAGCUAGGGGAGCAAACGGG
rnacentral:rRNA from 1 species